GACGAACGCUGGCGGCGUGCUUAACACAUGCAAGUCGAACGGAAAGGCCCUGCUUUUGUGGGGUGCUCGAGUGGCGAACGGGUGAGUAACACGUGAGUAACCUGCCCUUGACUUUGGGAUAACUUCAGGAAACUGGGGCUAAUACCGGAUAGGAGCUCCUGCUGCAUGGUGGGGGUUGGAAAGUUUCGGCGGUUGGGGAUGGACUCGCGGCUUAUCAGCUUGUUGGUGUGGUAGUGGCUUACCAAGGCUUUGACGGGUAGCCGGGCUGAGAGGGUGGCCGGCCACAUUGGGACUGAGAUGCGGCCCAGACCCCUACGGGAGGCAGCAGUGGGGUAUAUUGCACAAUGGGCGGAAGCCUGAUGCAGCAACGCCGCGUGCGGGAUGACGGCAUUCGGGUUGUAAACCGAUUUCGCCUGUGACGAAGUGUGAGUGACGGUAAUGGGUAAAGAAGCACCGGCUAACUACGUG
rnacentral:rRNA from 1 species